rnacentral:rRNA from 1 species
AGUUAAAAAGCUCGUAGUUGGAUUUCUGUGGGGGCGGAGCGGCCGGCCGCAACUUGCGGUUCGAGCUAGCGCUUCCCCUACAUCCUGCCGCGAACCGUGCUACCAUUAGUUUGGUGGCGCCGGGGAUCGGCUCGUUUACUUUGAGAAAAAUAGAGUGUUCAAAGCAGGCCACACGCCUUGAAUAAGUUAGCAUGGAAUAAUAAUAAGGGACUUCGGUUCUAUUUUGUUGGUGUUCGGGACUGAAGUAAUGAAUGAUAGGGACAGUUGGGGCGGUCAGUAUUCCAAAGCGAGAGGUGAAAUUCUUAGACCUUCGGAAGACUAACAGCUGCGAAAGCGUUCCGCAAGGAUGUUCCCUUUGAUCAAGAACGAAAGUUGGGGGAUCGAAGACGAUCAGAUACCGUCGUAGUCUCAACUAUAAACUAUACCAGCUAGGGAUCGGCCAACGUUAAAUUAUUCGACUUGGUCGGCACCUUAUGAGAAAAUCAAGCAUCUGGGUUCCGGGGGGAGUAUGGUCGCAAGGCUGAAACUUAAAAGGAAAUUGAC